UACAGAGGUGGCAAGCGUUGUUCGGAAUUACUGGGCGUAAAGGGCGCGUAGGCGGCCUUCUAAGUCAGACGUGAAAUCCCCAGGCUUAACUUGGGAACUGCGUCUGAUACUGGGAGGCUUGAGUGCGGGAGAGGGAUGUGGAAUUCCAGGUGUAGCGGUGAAAUGCGUAGAUAUCUGGAGGAACACCGGUGGCGAAGGCGGCAUCCUGGACCGGUAUUGACACUGAAAAGCGAAAGCCAGGGGAGCAAACGGG
rnacentral:rRNA from 1 species